ensembl:rRNA 5S_rRNA 5S ribosomal RNA
GCUUAUGGUCGUACCACCCUGACCACGCCCGAUCUCGUCUGAGCUCAGAAGCUAAGCAGGGUGCAGCCGGUUAGGAGUUGGAUGGGAGAGUGCCUGGGAAUACCAGGAGGCAGAACGGGUCAUUCAGUC